rnacentral:lncRNA from 1 species
ACAGAACCCCUUGGCCAGGGCCUGCUGAGUUGCUGCUUGGAUGAGGGGCUCCCACUGCAGCCCUUUCUCCUUCCUUGCCUGUGUGGAAGAGAUCUGGUGUUUCCCUUGGGACCCCAUGGGGCUCUGGGCCCCAUCUGCACUUCUGUGCUGGCAAAUGCCGAAGAAUUAGCUCAGCAACUUCCUCCCCCUCAUCCCCCACCCCCACUCUAAAUACCUUGGAAUCAAGAGAAAAGCCGAGUGGCCGUUUGCAGCCUAAUUCUCUUCAGCUGUGUGUGCGUGCAUGUAUGUGUGCGUGUUCUCGGAUGCAGAGGCCUGCGAGGGAACCUUUUGAACCCCAAAUGUUGGAGUUGGAGGGAACACAAGGAACGUUAAGUCCAGCCCCCACUAUGUUCAGAUGACAUAAACCAGAUACAGGAGGAGGACAAGACCUGCCUCUGUCACAUGGAAGCCCAAGUACAGAGCACCAGGUGCUGGGCUCUCUGCUUCUGCCUCAGCAUCCUCAUCCCCACAGCCCUUAGCCUCUGGAAGGGAAGGAAAUGUAGGCACUAUACCCAAAGACAACCCUGAUCACAGAUCAGCUAGGCUGGCCCCGGCCUGGGAAGGGACUAGUACAACCCUCAGAGCCAUGACUGCUGCCUUUCCCCCAAAUUCUUUGAUUCCUCAGACCAGCUCUAUUCUCCCUCCAAUCAGUCUGGAAUCGACCCAGGUCUCCCAUUUCUCUCCAGAAACACCUAUACGUCUUGUUUCUCAAUGAGACAUCAAAUACAUUCAGAUCAAGCUCUAUCCUCUCUGGUCUCCCUGAAAAGAGUAGAGAGGCAGGGUUUGGGGGUGGCAUAUAGCAGCUAUACUGAGCUUGACAGGCAGAGCUAGUUGUUUGACAGCACCCCAUGAUCCGGAAGAGGGUGGUGUCAAUUGAGCCUAUGACCCAAAGGAAAAGGACAGGUUUUUUGGCCUAACCGACUUCAAAGAUUGACCUAUGGAGACCUCUUGAAAGCACAGUGAGGUAUAUACCAGAUGUCAUCAAAAGGAAAUUGAUUAGGGACAGAACUGAGGGCCCAGAAUCUACAAACUGACAACAGACACUCUUGAAUCUACUUGUUGGGUAUGUCAUGACUAAAGACACAAUUAGAACUCAGACUUUAAGUAUACCAUUAAAUAAACUAAAUUUUCAUAAUUAAAACAACAAACCAAAAC